rfam:Echinops telfairi cont1.050251, whole genome shotgun sequence.
GAAACAAAGGUGCCUUUGCCAAUGUUACAUCUUGCUUUGACAAGGCAUGUGCUUUCUGAGGGGAAUCCACUACAAAUGGGAUCAGGUCAUUCAUUUAUGCUGUGUUCAUAUAUAAUUUUAAGAUACAGCCUC